rfam:Ruminococcus sp. CAG:108 genomic scaffold, scf246
CAGUGAAAUUCGCCGUUGGCGAGUGAAAUCUGACUUUGUCAGGUGAAAUCGUCCUGUCGGACGGUGAAAUUGCCC